rnacentral:ncRNA from 1 species
CGGGGUAAUGCAGACACCCCGUUAGACGGCGCGCCGUCCAAGCUCUGC